GAUGAACGCUAGCUACAGGCUUAACACAUGCAAGUCGAGGGGCAGCGCAGUGUAGCAAUACAUGGGCGGCGACCGGCGCACGGGUGCGUAACGCGUAUCCAACCUUCCCGUUACUCUUGGAUAGCCUUCCGAAAGGGAGAUUAAUACAGGAUGGUGUUCAAAUUCCGCAUGUUAUUUGAACUAAAGAUUUAUCGGUAACGGAUGGGGAUGCGUGACAUUAGGUAGAUGGCGGGGUAACGGCCCACCAUGCCUACGAUGUCUAGGGGUUCUGAGAGGAAGGUCCCCCACACUGGAACUGAGACACGGUCCAGACUCCUACGGGAGGCAGCAGUGAGGAAUAUUGGUCAAUGGUCGGAAGACUGAACCAGCCAAGUAGCGUGAAGGAUGAAGGUUCUAUGGAUUGUAAACUUCUUUUAUACGGGAAUAAAACCACCUACGUGUAGGUGCUUGUAUGUACCGUAUGAAUAAGCAUCGGCUAACUCCGUG
rnacentral:rRNA from 1 species